rnacentral:rRNA from 1 species
CCUACGGGAGGCUGCAGUGGGGAAUAUUGGACAAUGGGGGCAACCCUGAUCCAGCCAUGCCGCGUGUGUGAAGAAGGCCCUCGGGUUGUAAAGCACUUUCAGUGAGGAAGAACGCCUGGUGGUUAAUACCCAUCAGGAAAGACAUCACUCACAGAAGAAGCACCGGCUAACUCCGUGCCAGCAGCCGCGGUAAUACGGAGGGUGCGAGCGUUAAUCGGAAUUACUGGGCGUAAAGCGCGCGUAGGUGGCUUGAUAAGCCGGUUGUGAAAGCCCCGGGCUCAACCUGGGAACGGCAUCCGGAACUGUCAAGCUAGAGUGCAGGAGAGGAAGGUAGAAUUCCCGGUGUAGUGGUGAAAUGCGUAGAGAUCGGGAGGAAUACCAGUGGCGAAGGCGGCCUUCUGGACUGACACUGACACUGAGGUGCGAAAGCGUGGGUAGCAAACAGGAUCAGAUACCCUUGUAGUC